UACCAGUACAGAGUCAAUGUGGAGACUAUAUACAGGGGGUACCAGUACAGAGUCAAUGUGGAGGCUAUAUACAGGGGGUACCAGUACAGAGUCAAUGUGGAGGCUAUAUACAGGGGGGUACCAGUACAGAGUCAAUGUGGAGGCUAUAUACAGGGGGGUACCAGUACAGAGUCAAUGUGGAGGCUAUAUACAGGGGGGUACCAGUACAGAGUCAAUGUGGAGGCUAUAUACAGGGGGUACCAGUACAGAGUCAAUGUGGAGGCUAUAUACAGGGGGUACCAGUACAGAGUCAAUGUGGAGGCUAUAUACAGGGUGUUACGGUACAGAGUCAAUGUGGAGG
ensembl:lncRNA